AGUGAACGCUGGCGGUAGGCCUAACACAUGCAAGUCGAACGGCAGCACAGUAAGAGCUUGCUCUUACGGGUGGCGAGUGGCGGACGGGUGAGGAAUACAUCGGAAUCUACUUUUUCGUGGGGGAUAACGUAGGGAAACUUACGCUAAUACCGCAUACGACCUACGGGUGAAAGCAGGGGAUCUUCGGACCUUGCGCGAUUGAAUGAGCCGAUGUCGGAUUAGCUAGUUGGCGGGGUAAAGGCCCACCAAGGCGACGAUCCGUAGCUGGUCUGAGAGGAUGAUCAGCCACACUGGAACUGAGACACGGUCCAGACUCCUACGGGAGGCAGCAGUGGGGAAUAUUGGACAAUGGGCGUAAGCCUGAUCCAGCCAUACCGCGUGGGUGAAGAAGGCCUUCGGGUUGUAAAGCCCUUUUGUUGGGAAAGAAAAGCAGCAGGUUAAUACCCCGCCGUCCUGACGGUACCCAAAGAAUAAGCACCGGCUAACUUCGUG
rnacentral:rRNA from 1 species